rnacentral:lncRNA from 1 species
CCCAGGGCUCCGGUCUCCGUGAAGCUAACACCAUCCUCCCAGAGGUGCAGCUCUCCCCAGGGGUUCCAGGUAUCCAGUACCUAUGUUGUAGCCUAACACAUGAUCUAUCCUGGACUCUGUCGCAUGUGCACAUGAAGGAAUGUGUAGGCUACUACUUUUGGGUGGAAUGUUCUGUUAAGUCUAAGAGGUCUAAUGUGUUGUUUAGGGUCAGGGUUUCCAUAGUUUUCUGUCUGAAGGACAUGUCCAUUCACGUAUGUGGGGUUCAAAAGUACCCUACUAUUGUUGUUUACUGAUUACUGUCCACUUCUCCUUUCGUGUGUGCUAAUAUUUUGUUUUUGUAUUUAGGUGCUCCUACGUUGGGGCCAUAUAUUUUUACAAUGGUUACAUUUUAUUCCUGGAUUGAUCCCUCGAUCAUUAGGGAGUGUCCUUCUUUGUCUUCUGUCAUGGUCUUUUUCUCAAAGUCUGUUUGGUCUGGUGUAAGAGUACAACCCCGGCUUUUUGAUUUCUGUUUGCACGGAAUACUUUUUCCAUCCCUCCACUUUCAGUCUGCAUGUGUCUUUAGAUCUGAAGUGAAGACAUGUCUAGGUCCUGUUUUUGUAUCAUUUUAGCUACUCUGUGUCUUUCUGUUGUAGCAUUUAUUCCAUGUACAUUAACAGUAACUAUUGAUAGAUGCAUUCUCAUCACCAUUUUAUUUGGAGUUUUUGUUAAUAGGUCUUUUUUGUUCCUUCUCCUUUUGCUUUUCUCUAGUCAUUUGAAGACUGACUUUGGUGUUAUGGAUGGGUUUCUUUCUCUUUUUCCGUAUCACAGAUUUUUGGUUUGUGUAUGUAUUUGCCUUUACCAAUGAAAUUUUUCCUCUUGUAAUUUUGAUAUUUCUAGCUGUGUACGUUUCCACUUGGAGGCCACCCUUUCACAUUUCUCAUAAAGCUGGUUUUGUGGUGCUCAACUCUUAGCUUUCCCUUGUCUGCAAAACUUUGAGUCUCUCCUUUGACUCAAUCUGAGUGAAAGCCUUGCCAGCUAGAGCACUUUUGGCUGUAGGUUUUUCGCUUUCAUCCUUUAGAUACACAGGGCCACUCCUUUCUGGCCUGUCGAGUUUCUGCCAAAAAAUCAGCUGAUAAACUUAUGAGUUGGUUGUGGGGCCGGGGGUGUCCCAAAGCCUGUGCUGUCCUGCUGGGAGGUGGGACAAGGGCCCAUGGGAUCUCUGGGCUAGUGCUGGUGCACUGGUAGGUGGGCCUGUGUCCUGGGCCUUCUGGUGGACAAGCCAGGUCUUGGGCCUUCUGGUGGAUGGGGCCAGACCCCAGGUGACUGGGGACUCAGGGGAUCCUAAGGCAGUUGGCCGUGGGUGCGUCUCUGUUCCUACUCAGCUAGCUCCUUGGCCUGGGGUAUCCCAGUACUGGUGUUCACAGGUUAGUAUUACUAGGGCUGAUAAAUAAGCAAGAGGGAGAGUCCAAAAUGGCGCUUUCUAGCACCAGAGUCAUCAGAGUAGAGUGGAGCUCCCCAAAUGGCUCUUGCCAGUGUCGAUAUCCCCAGGAUGACCUCCAGUUGCCUCGUGGCUCUCAGGGAGGCUCCCCGAGGUCAGCAGGUGGAUCUGACCCAAGCUCCUUUCAGACUACGCCUUGUGCCCGGUGCCCAGGAAUGUACAGUAUUUUGUGUGCAUCUUUUCAGAGUGAAGUCCCCUUAGAUAGCUCCAUCCUCCCAAGGUUUAUUUCUGAUUGGGACACAAGUUGCAUAGUAAUGGGAGGAAAGAGUUUUAUAAGUAACUAGUGAGUCCAAAAUUCAGCUGUAUAGGCUAAAGAUGGAGAGGAUCCUAUUUCGUUCAUGAGGUCUUGGACUAUUUCCCAGAGUGUAGUCUAUGAGAUUGCUGACUAUAGUGAUUGGUGGCAGUUGAAAUCAACCCUGAAAAGGGUUACAGAAGAGUGGGAGCAGAGGAGAUGAAUCUGUGUUUGCUGAGCAAGUAGGAUGAAAAAGUGGAAUUAGACAUUCCUAAAGAGGCAAGGAUUUGGGUGAGUGACUUUCCAGGAUGAAAAAGGACUUCCUCCCUGGAGACAGAAGAGUGGACUCCUGGGGGAAAGAAGGCUGAUUCUUGAUGGUUAUUUGAAGAAAGUACUCUCUCUUCUGAAGGCUGCUGUAUGCGAUAAGGUAGCGUAAAAACUGUUAAGAGUGGAGCUGUAGCGGGAAGGUGCUUGGCUAUUUGGAUUCUCCUGCGAUGACCACAGGUCUGCAGGUCUCUUGGGGCUCACAGCAACAGGCCUCUCCCUGCUUGGUGUUUUCAGUGGGAAUUCCAUGGAGGGAUCCGGUGCAAGGGACUUCAGAUGGUCAUUUUUGCCCCAGAGGAAAUAGAUUUCUUCCGCUCUGAGAGUCCAUUCUACAUUGUCCCAGGAAGGAGGAAUGCUGAUAAACAGGCCAACCAACAGCCGUGUGACUUUUUUGAGCCAAGACAUUGAAAAAAGAGUUUCCAAUUUUGGAAAGUCUUUACAGAAAGUAUGUUUCAUUUCUGGAAAAGGGAAAUUUCCCACUUAGCAGUACUAACCUAGAAUACAUCAGAACUGAAUGCCGUCUUUGCCGUCAACCAUGAUCACUACCCAGAGCGGUCAAAGACCCAUGGCUUCUAAGUCAUGCUGGAUUGCCAGACUCUUACCAGACUCAGCUGGAGACUUAGCUGAGCCCUGAACGACGGGGACUUAUUUUAACCAAUUGUAUAGAUUCCAAUGCACUUAUUCUGCCAUAUCCAGAGACAUCAUUUUCAACUUGUAAUUAGCAUAAGCACCAUGAAACUGUGCACGCUCCUUCUUAUCCCUUCAAAGCUCCCAAUACCCCUUCUCUCCCUGCUCCCCACCCCUCCCGGCCCCCUCCACCACUAUGAGUGUCUCCACUGGUGUGCGUUCCCUUGUCUGGCAAGCACGUGAACUCAUUUUUGAAAAGCCCUAGUAGUCCUUGUGUUCUGACACUUCCCGUACAGAGUACAUAAACAGCACUGCCCAGGCACCUCAGCACUGCCCAAGGACUUUAUUUGAUACGGUUUUGCCAGAUUCUGUGUGCCCCUGCGGAAGAGUGGUAGCAGAAUGUCUGUUCCUGCUGUGUGCUGCUUGCCUGUCAUUCCAUGCGGAUUGGCUUUUCAAGGACCACAGGGUACCCAAACUCGAUCUCAAAGAUUCUCAGUUUGUUAACAAUGUGCUCAGGCCACAUGAGUUUUCUGCAAAGGACUGAGAACUUGCUCCAUUUUCAGUCUGUCCAGUUUUAUUGUUUUUCCUUUUCUGCUUGCAUGCCUUAUACACACCUUUCCUUGGCGAUGACCAAGGUGGAUGGCACAUUUGCGAAUGGAUUAUCUUAAGGCGACCAUGCUCAAAAAGACUUUAAGGCAGAACCUGUACCAAAAGAAAGCUACCCUCUUAGACCUGUGUGUGUUGCAUUACUCAAUCGCUAUUCCAAACUUGCCAUUAUUCCAAGCCUUCCAAUAUUUCUGGCUUUUGUUCACCUAUUUUGAGACGAGCUACAUCCUGCACAUGGCAAUGGGACAGUGUCGUGUAGCCUUAUGGAAACGGUUUUUCCAUUUCCAGCAGUCCCAGUUGUAGCACCAAUUUGAGUACAGGCUAGCCAUGAGAUUUGCAUUAUGGUUUUGACUCAUCAGCACCAGUGUUCUUUUUUUUUAAUUGGUUAAGUCAAGCGAUCUGAAUAGCGUCCUAAGAUUGCUAUUAACAAAUUGUGUUACCAUGAGGAUUUCACCUAAGUAUUUUGCACAAACCUUUGAUUUAUUUUAUUUCACUUUAUUUUUGUUUUUUAGGGCUGCCCUGGGGGCACAUGGAGGUUCCCAGGCCAGGGCUCAAAUUGGAGCUGUAGCUGCUGGCCUACACCAGAGCCACGGCAAUAGGGGAUUCUAGCCAUGUCUGUGACCUACACCACAGCUCACGGCAACGCCAGAUCCUUAACCCAGUGAGCCACGCCCGGGAUGGAACCUGUGUCCUCAUGGAUGCUGGUCAGGGUCAUUACCCACUGAGCCACGAUGGGACCCUCUGCCCAAGCCUUUGGAGGGACCCUGUUCCCGGCUAUCACCGACAUCAGUCCAGUGAAACCAAUUUUAGACUUUUGAACUCCAGAUCUUUAAGAGAAUAAAUAUGCAUUGUUUCAUGCCACCAAGUUUGUGGUAAUUUGUUAAGAGCAGCCACAGGAAAUGAAGACAUCACCUUUUCCUGUUUCCCUGCUUUAAACAAGCCUCAGCUUAACACUAUACCUAAAUGGUUAACUCUUACUAUGUCAUCAGCACUUACGUGGAACUCAAACCCAUCUUUAAGCCAGAAGUGCCAUUAAUGUAUUCAUAUCUCUGACUACUUUGUGCUAAGAAAAAUUUAAGUAAAACUGAUUUAAAAUGUAAGUAAACUUCAGGAGUUCCCCUCAUGGCUCAGAGGAAACAAAUCUGACUAGCACCCAUGAGGACACAUGUUUGAAGCCUAGCGUUGGUCAGUGGGUUAAGCAUCUGGCAUUGCUGUGAGCUGUGGCGUAGGUCACAGAAGCAGCUUGGAUCCCGAGUUGCCAUAGCUGUGGUGUCGGCUGGAAGCUACAGCUCCGAUUUGACCCCUAGCCUGGGAACUUCCAAAUGCUGCAGGUGUGGCCCUAAAAAGACAAAUAAAAUAAAAUAAAAAAUAAAAUAAAAUAAAUAAAAUAAAUGUAAGUAAACUUCAGAGCAAACUACUUGGCUCACUUCAAAUGAAAUGGAAAGGCAAGGUUCAAGGUGAUAUGGUGAACAUUUUGUCUUAGCACUAUAAUAUAAUUACUGUCUGCCUCAGGGUUAUGUUUAGUAAAUAGCAAAAUGCACAAAGUUAUUUAUAACAGUUUUAAAGUAAAACAGAAGUCUUAUUCUGUGGUCCCAACUGUAACAACAAAUAGGCCUUGUCAUGAACGGUUUAUAAACUCUUGAGUACAGUUGUUUUGAAAGUAAAGUUCACCUGC